rnacentral:rRNA from 1 species
UACAGAGGGUGCAAGCGUUAAUCGGAAUUACUGGGCGUAAAGCGUGCGUAGACGGUUACAUAAGUCGGGUGUGAAAGCCCCGGGCUCAACCUGGGAAUGGCGAUGGAUACUGGCUCGCUAGAGUGCGGUAGAGGAGAGUGGAAUUCCCGGUGUAGCAGUGAAAUGCGUAGAGAUCGGGAGGAACAUCAGUUGCGAAGGCGGCCUUCUGGUCCAGUACUGACACUCAAGUGCGAAAGCGUGGGGAGCAAACAGG